rnacentral:rRNA from 1 species
UACGUAGGUGACAAGCGUUGUCCGGAUUUACUGGGCGUAAAGAGCGCGCAGGCGGUCGAUCAAGUCGAGUGUGAAAGCCCCCGGCUCAACUGGGGAGGGUCAUUCGAUACUGAUCGACUCGAAGGCAGGAGAGGGUAGUGGAAUUCCCGGUGUAGUGGUGAAAUGCGUAGAUAUCGGGAGGAACACCAGUGGCGAAGGCGACUACCUGGCCUGUUCUGACGCUGAGCGCGGAAAG